AAACCAUUCGGAUUACAAUAUAGUAAUUAGGAGUAAACUAGAAAAAUUGAAACUGAGAUUACAAAGAGAAUGUAUGUACACGUCAAAUCAUAGAUUGCACGAGCAAAUAUAAAAAAGGAUAAACGACCCACCAAGGAAAAACAGAGGAAAAGUAUUCAAACUAGUACAGUUAAUGUCAAUCUUCAUGGUCCUUGUACUGAACCACCAACUGCUUUCCCAUUGGAAAGCAUGCUUGUAUGACAAACAUUACAGAAGCCAGCAUCUUCAACUGCUCUUUUCCCAGCACAUAAGGAAUUUCUUAGGUUCCACCGGGAGAGCACAUACAUAAGCUAUGACCUUUUGCUUCACAAGAACCGAGGUUUCCUAUCUGCUGGCUUCAAAAUCUGGAAAGAGCACAUCAGAUUUUCAUCCACACUCAUCAUUGCACCAGCAUUA
rnacentral:misc_RNA from 1 species